UGUGCUUGCCUAACCGUAUCAGUUACCCCCGCAAAAGGAGCGAAAAAUUAAGACCCAAGAAUCGAUGAGCCUUUGAUGACAAAAGGAUCACUCAACGUGACUAAGCCACCACGCCAACGUAUGCCUUCCGGAGCAUGGGUCGGGGCACAACAUCCGGAAACCGAAGCUGCCAGACAGAUAGGCACAUAUAUGGGUCCACGGUCUGUCGCAAAAGCGAAACAUGGCACCACGAUCAGACACCAACAACCAAAACGACCGAAAAACAGUCGACGCGAAUAACGGAUAAAGGGAUAUGGAACGAAGCGUAGCCAGUCGCCAGUGAGACGGUAAAACUCCUGUAACGGAAACAACAGUAGUACAACUAACCGGCGAAGAUAGACUCCUACCAGGGAUAGCGUCGUGGCGAAAGUCAAGAGCAAAGGAGCAUGGUACUCGAUAAGGAACCCCACGGUGGAGCGGAAGAGCCGACCACUGUGGCCUUUUUCAUAGGACACACGCAGUCCCCAUGAAGCCGUUCCCACGCUGUGACGAUGGCCGCUGGACGGUGGCCCGUGCUGGCAUGCGAAAAUGGGGCGUCAAAAAAAUAAAACGAGAAGCUGUUCCGAUAACGAAACGAUGGAACUCGGGACACGGUAUUCUCUACCGUAAAUUGCCCCACCUUAACAUUGCCGUGAUGAAAAGUACAAAAGAACGCCAACAAUGAAGGAAGCACGACCUCCAAAUUGUCUGCUCGAUUACGGGGUGACAGCAGAAGUCGAGUAGGAGGUAUCUGCCUACAAGGCAACGGCUCAUCAGUCAUCUGGCCCGAACGUAGGCAGUCUCGACGAGGGCGGAGCUGGGUAGCCUCAAAUGAAUGACUUGGUCUCAGUAUAGACCAUUGACACUGUCGGGCAUUCAAUGCGGAAC